rnacentral:rRNA from 1 species
AACGAACGCUGGCGGCAGGCCUAACACAUGCAAGUCGAGCGCGCCCUUCGGGGUGAGCGGCGGACGGGUGAGUAACGCGUGGGAACGUGCCCUUUUCUACGGAAUAGCCUCGGGAAACUGAGAGUAAUACCGUAUACGCCCUUUGGGGGAAAGAUUUAUCGGAAAAGGAUCGGCCCGCGUUGGAUUAGGUAGUUGGUGGGGUAAUGGCCUACCAAGCCGACGAUCCAUAGCUGGUUUGAGAGGAUGAUCAGCCACACUGGGACUGAGACACGGCCCAGACUCCUACGGGAGGCAGCAGUGGGGAAUCUUAGACAAUGGGGGCAACCCUGAUCUAGCCAUGCCGCGUGAGUGAUGAAGGCCUUAGGGUUGUAAAGCUCUUUCAGCUGGGAAGAUAAUGACGGUACCAGCAGAAGAAGCCCCGGCUAACUCCGUGC